rnacentral:lncRNA from 1 species
ACAUGUUGGUUGACAGUCCAUAGGUUCCUAUUUAAUAGGCUUGCAUCAUACGUUUUCUUUUCUUUUUUGAAUCUGCUUGGAUUGUACGUGUCCAUGUAGGACUUUUCUGGGUUUUUAUUUCUUAAGCUUAGGGCUUUGUCUUUGCUAGGUAUAAACACGUGAUCUGUAGACAACUAUAGUAGCAUGAGUACAUACAUGUCUUGUAUCUAUCUUUUUUAAUACAAUUUAAAACCGAGAUGUUAUCUAGUAUUUUUUUCUAUCUAUUACAUAUCCUCACGUACCAAUUCUAUUCAAUGCUACUUCAACUACGUGUUGUCUUUGACUGGUUCCCACUUUUUUUGACAUGUGUCACAUUACGUGAGAAGUUAAGGAGCCCUGCCAUGUUACGCAAAUCGAACGGACAUAGAUNAAUUUUAAAAAUCAACCGGAUCAAGGUUUGGUAUUUUCUAAUUAACGUAAGAUUUUCUGGCUUAUUUCUCUAUAUUGGACCCGUAUUUUUCUUUUAGUAUAUAAUAGAUGAUGUUAUGGACAAGACCCAAACUACGAACGUAACAUAUGAUCGUGUCAGUUUAUUGCUACUGUUUUCUACAUGUCAAUGUAUCUGUUCCUAUGACCAUGAGAUCAUGCAACUCCUGGACACCGGAGGAAUACCUUGUGUGUAUCAAACAUCGCAACAUAACUGGGUGACUAUAAAGGUGAUCUACACGUAUCUC